rnacentral:rRNA from 1 species
UACGUAGGGGGCAAGCGUUGUCCGGAUUUAUUGGGCGUAAAGAGCACGCAGGCGGUGUGCCAAGUUUUGAGUGACAGGUGAGGGCUUAACUCUCACAGGGCUUGGAAAACUGGCAGACUUGAGGACUUGAGAGGGAUGCGGAAUUCCAAGGUGGAGCGGUGAAUGCGUAGAGAUCUGGAAGAACACCAAAGGCGAAGGCAGCAUCCUGGAAGUAUCGUGACGCUGAGGUGCGAAAGCCAGGGAGCGAACGG